GAGUUUGAUCGUGGCUCAGAAUCAACGCUGGCGGCGUGCCUAACACAUGCAAGUCGAACGCGGUUAGUAGCAAUACUAACUGAGUGGCGAACGGGUGAGUAACACGUGGGUGACCUACCUUCGAGUGGGGGAUAACGUCCCGAAAGGGGCGCUAAUACCGCAUGACAUCCUGCCUUUGAACAGGUGGAGAUCAAAGCUGGGGAUCGCAAGACCCGGCGCUUGAUGAGGGGCCCGCGUCCGAUUAGCUAGUUGGUGAGGUAAUGGCUCACCAAGGCGACGAUCGGUAUCCGGCCUGAGAGGGCGGACGGACACACUGGGACUGAGACACGGCCCAGACUCCUACGGGAGGCAGCAGUGGGGAAUUGUUCACAAUGGGCGCAAGCCUGAUGACGCAACGCCGCGUGGAGGAUGAAGGUCUUCGGAUUGUAAACUCCUGUUGCCAGGGACGAACGGCUCCGACCUAAUACGUCGGAGAAUGACGGUACCUGGUGAGGAAGCCCCGGCUAACUCUGUGCCAGCA
rnacentral:rRNA from 1 species